AUAGGGGAUACAAGCACCCCUUGAAAGGCCCUCUGCCCUUGGAGUAGUCUGUGUGGUAGAACAGGUCACAGAGGGAGCCAGGAGCCCACGGUGGACCGUCCAUACCGCAUCUCUGCCUAAGCAUGGAACUGCUCGUCACCUGACGUCAUGAAUGCGUAUCCAGGCAGAAGACCAGGAGCAUCAGGAUGUGAACCCAAAGGAGCCUUGCCUCCUCCCAUUUGAUGCCUUUCCUAACUCAAGCCUUUUUAGUGACAGGGACCCACUGGGAGGGCACUGGAACCAACUGAGACACGAGUGUACAUUCUAACCCCUGGUACACUGUGUUUUCCCUGAGUCCAACCCAACCUAUGACCUGCAUAACUCGGAGCUGUGAACACUACGCUGGCCAGCUUUUCAGCGACGGUAGGGUCUCUUUCCUAAAUACACCAAGCAUCUGCUUCCUUCUU
rnacentral:lncRNA from 1 species